rnacentral:tRNA from 1 species
GGGAAAGUGACUCAGUGGUAGAGCACUUGCCUUGCAUGCAUGAGGCCCUGGGUUCCAUUCCCCAGCACCA